GACGAACGCUGGCGGCGUGCUUAACACAUGCAAGUCGAACGGAAAGGCCCCCUUGUGGGGUACUCGAGUGGCGAACGGGUGAGUAACACGUGAGUAACCUACCCUUGACUUUGGGAUAACUUCAGGAAACUGGGGCUAAUACCGGAUAGGAGCUCCUGCUGCAUGGUGGGGGUUGGAAAGUUUCGGCGGUUGGGGAUGGACUCGCGGCUUAUCAGCUUGUUGGUGGGGUAGUGGCUCACCAAGGCUUUGACGGGUAGCCGGCCUGAGAGGGUGACCGGCCACAUUGGGACUGAGAUACGGCCCAGACUCCUACGGGAGGCAGCAGUGGGGAAUAUUGCACAAUGGGCGGAAGCCUGAUGCAGCAACGCCGCGUGCGGGAUGACGGCCUUCGGGUUGUAAACCGCUUUCGCCUGUGACGAAGCGUGAGUGACGGUAAUGGGUAAAGAAGCACCGGCUAACUACGCG
rnacentral:rRNA from 1 species